CGUAGGCGAUGGAUAACAGGUUGAUAUUCCUGUACCACCUAUAAUCGUUUUAAUCGAUGGGGGGACGCAGUAGGAUAGGCGAAGCGUGCGAUUGGAUUGCACGUCUAAGCAGUAAGGCUGAGUAUUAGGCAAAUCCGGUACUCAUUAAGGCUGAGCUGUGAUGGGGAGAAGACAUUGUGUCUUCGAGUCGUUGAUUUCACACUGCCGAGAAAAGCCUCUAGAUAGAAAAUAGGUGCCCGUACCGCAAACCGACACAGGUAGUCAAGAUGAGAAUUCUAAGGUGAGCGAGCGAACUCUCGUUAAGGAACUCGGCAAAAUGACCCCGUAACUUCGGGAGAAGGGGUGCUCUUUAGGGUUAACGCCCAGAAGAGCCGCAGUGAAUAGGCCCAAGCGACUGUUUAUCAAAAACACAGGUCUCUGCUAAACCGUAAGGUGAUGUAUAGGGGCUGACGCCUGCCCGGUGCUGGAAGGUUAAGAGGAGUGGUUAGCUUCUGCGAAGCUACGAAUCGAAGCCCCAGUAAACGGCGGCCGUAACUAUAACGGUCCUAAGGUAGCGAAAUUCCUUGUCGGGUAAGUUCCGACCCGCACGAAAGGCGUAACGAUUUGGGCACUGUCUCAACGAGAGACUCGGUGAAAUCAUAGUACCUGUGAAGAUGCAGGUUACCCGCGACAGGACGGAAAGACCCCGUGGAGCUUUACUGUAGCCUGAUAUUGAAAUUCGGCACAGCUUGUACAGGAUAGGUAGGAGCCUUUGAAACGUGAGCGCUAGCUUACGUGGAGGCGCUGGUGGGAUACUACCCUAGCUGUGUUGGCUUUCUAACCCGCACCACUUAUCGUGGUGGGAGACAGUGUCAGGCGGGCAGUUUGACUGGGGCGGUCGCCUCCUAAAAGGUAACGGAGGCGCUCAAAGGUUCCCUCAGAAUGGUUGGAAAUCAUUCAUAGAGUGUAAAGGCAUAAGGGAGCUUGACUGCGAGACCUACAAGUCGAGCAGGGUCGAAAGACGGACUUAGUGAUCCGGUGGUUCCGCAUGGAAGGGCCAUCGCUCAACGGAUAAAAGCUACCCCGGGGAUAACAGGCUUAUCUCCCCCAAGAGUUCACAUCGACGGGGAGGUUUGGCACCUCGAUGUCGGCUCAUCGCAUCCUGGGGCUGUAGUCGGUCCCAAGGGUUGGGCUGUUCGCCCAUUAAAGCGGUACGCGAGCUGGGUUCAGAACGUCGUGAGACAGUUCGGUCCCUAUCCGUCGUGGGCGUAGGAAAUUUGAGAGGAGCUGUCCUUAGUACGAGAGGACCGGGAUGGACAUACCUCUGGUGUACCAGUUGUCGUGCCAACGGCAUAGCUGGGUAGCUAUGUGUGGACGGGAUAAGUGCUGAAAGCAUCUAAGCAUGAAGCCCCCCUCAAGAUGAGAUUUCCCAACUUCGGUUAUAAGAUCCCUCAAAGAUGAUGAGGUUAAUAGGUUCGAGGUGGAAGCAUGGUGACAUGUGGAGCUGACGAAUACUAA
rnacentral:rRNA from 1 species